rnacentral:rRNA from 1 species
UACGAAGGGGGCUAGCGUUGCUCGGAAUCACUGGGCGUAAAGCGCACGUAGGCGGCUUUUUAAGUCAGGGGUGAAAUCCUGGAGCUCAACUCCAGAACUGCCUUUGAUACUGAGAAGCUUGAGUCCGGGAGAGGUGAGUGGAACUGCGAGUGUAGAGGUGAAAUUCGUAGAUAUUCGCAAGAACACCAGUGGCGAAGGCGGCUCACUGGCCCGGUACUGACGCUGAGGUGCGAAAGCGUGGGUAGCGAACGGG